rnacentral:misc_RNA from 1 species
CAUAUCAGCCAAUCAAGCCCAAGCUA